rnacentral:rRNA from 1 species
UCGGGAAUUUUGGGCAAUGGGCGAAAGCCUGACCCAGCAACGCCGCGUGAGGGAUGAAGUAUUUCGGUAUGUAAACCUCGAAAGAAUGGGAAGAAUAAAUGACGGUACCAUUUAUAAGCUCCGGCUAACUACGUGCCAGCAGCCGCGGUAAUACGUCGGGAGCAAGCGUUGUUCGGAUUUACUGGGCGUAAAGGGCGCGUAGGCGGCGCGGUAAGUCACUUGUGAAAUCUCUGAGCUUAACUCAGAACGGCCAAGUGAUACUGCUGUGCUAGAGUGCGGAAGAGGCAACCGGAAUUCUUGGUGUAGCGGUGAAAUGCGUAGAUAUCAAGAGGAACACCUGAGGCGAAGGCGGGUUGCUGGGCCGACACUGACGCUGAUGCGCGAAAGCCAGGGGAGCAAGCG